GUCGACCGCCUGGGGAGUACGGCCGCAAGGUUAAAACUCAAAUGAAUUGACGGGGGCCCGCACAAGCGGUGGAGCAUGUGGUUUAAUUCGAUGCAACGCGAAGAACCUUACCUACUCUUGACAUCCACAGAAUUCGCUAGAGAUAGCUUAGUGCCUUCGGGAACUGUGAGACAGGUGCUGCAUGGCUGUCGUCAGCUCGUGUUGUGAAAUGUUGGGUUAAGUCCCGCAACGAGCGCAACCCUUAUCCUUUGUUGCCAGCACGUAAUGGUGGGAACUCAAAGGAGACUGCCGGUGAUAAACCGGAGGAAGGUGGGGAUGACGUCAAGUCAUCAUGGCCCUUACGAGUAGGGCUACACACGUGCUACAAUGGCGUAUACAAAGAGAAGCGAACUCGCGAGAGCCAGCGGACCUCAUAAAGUACGUCGUAGUCCGGAUCGGAGUCUGCAACUCGACUCCGUGAAGUCGGAAUCGCUAGUAAUCGUAGAUCAGAAUGCUACGGUGAAUACGUUCCCGGGCCUUGUACACACCGCCCGUCACACCAUGGGAGUGGGUUGCAAAAGAAGUAGGUAGCUUAACCUUCGGGAGGGCGCUUACCACUUUGUGAUUCAUGACUGGGGUGAAGUCGUAACAAGGUAACCGUAGGGGAACCUGCGGUUGGAUCACCUCCUUACCU
rnacentral:rRNA from 1 species